AAUUUCCAUUUUUUUUUUAAAGAAGUUUUCCGAGUAGAAAUGGAUGUUCUGAAAAACUAAUUCACAAGAAAAUAUUCGUUUAUUAUCACUUCAAAUCCAUUGUGUAAAUUUUGUGCGCGCAAAUAUAGAAAAUAUAAAAUCGCAGAGAAGGAUGUACUUAUUAUUAUUCGAUUCAUGGAACCUCAUAGAGACAUCGUCCGGAAUGAAAUCUUUCAACAUCUUCUUUCAACACUUUCAUCAUGAAAGUAACAGUUGAUGAAUUAAGAAACUUGUCGUUAACUACUAUAACGCACUUAAGUACUCCAUAAUAAAACAUGUCAUGCAAAUUUGUAUGCCUUCAAUUGAC